AUAACGAGCGCAACCCUAUCAUUAGUUGCCAUCAGGUCAAGCUGGGGACUCUAAUGAAACUGCCUACGCAAGUAGUGAGGAAGGUGGGGAUGACGUCAAAUCAGCACGGCCCUUACGUCCAGGGCUACACACGUGCUACAAUGGCCGGCACAGCGGGAAGCGGAGGGGCGACCCUGAGCGGAUCCCUUGAAAGCCGGUCCCAGUUCGGAUUGCAGUCUGCAACUCGACUGCAUGAAGUUGGAAUCGCUAGUAAUCGCGGAUCAGCCAAGCCGCGGUGAAUACGUUCCCGGGCCUU
rnacentral:rRNA from 1 species